CAACUUCGGUUAUAAGAUCCCUCAAAGAUGAUGAGGUUAAUAGGUUCGAGGUGGAAGCAUGGUGACAUGUGGAGCUGACGAAUACUAAUCGAUCGAAGACUUAAUCAA
rnacentral:rRNA from 1 species